ACCGUCCUUGGAACCAAUGCCUA
rnacentral:siRNA from 1 species